GACAUCCCUCCACACACAACUAAACUACAGAAAAGAUGAAUUUCUCUUCAAGAAAACAAUUCAUUUUCCUCAUUGCAUUAACUAUAGUACUAGUUGUUGUUCCAAGAACAAUCUUGGCACAAAACUGUGGAUGUGCAGAAAGCUUGUGCUGCAGCAAAUGGGGCUUUUGUGGUACUGGAAAUGAUUUCUGCGGGCAAGGAUGUCAAGGAGGUCCUUGUUUUAGUGCUUCACUAUCAAGCAACGGAGGUUCAGUUGCUGAUGUUGUUUCUAAUGCAUUCUUCAAUGGAAUAGCAGAUCAAGCUGCUUCUACCUGUGAAGGAAAAGGGUUUUACACAAGGGCUAACUUCCUUGAAGCUCUUCAAUCUUAUCCCAAUUUUGGUACUAUGGGUUCUACCGAUGAUUCUAAGCGUGAGAUUGCUGCUUUUUUUGCUCACGUCACCCAUGAAACCGGACACAUGUGCUUCAUAAAUGAGAUAAAUGGUCCUUCAGGCGACUAUUGUGAUGAGGACAACACAGAGUACCCUUGUGUCUCAGGCAAGAACUACUACGGUCGAGGACCCAUCCAACUAUCAUGGAACUUCAACUAUGGACCUGCCGGAAAAUCCAUAGGAUUCGAUGGCUUAAAUGACCCUGACAUUGUGGCUAGAGAUGCUGUUAUUUCCUUCAAGACUGCCCUGUGGUAUUGGAUGAACAAUUGCCAUUCUCUCAUUACUUCUGGCCAAGGUUUUGGCCCAACCAUUCGAGCCAUUAAUGGCCAGAUUGAAUGUGACGGAGGCAACCCUCANGUGUGACGGCGGCAACCCGCAGACUGUUGCCAGAAGGGUUGAGUAUUAUACUGAGUAUUGUCAACAACUAGGCGUGGAGACUGGGGAUAAUCUCACUUGUUAGCACCCCAAGUAAUUAAAGAGGUUGAAUGAAAGAAUAACCAGAGAUUUUAAUUAUUAGUUGCUCCACGGUUGUGAGGCUUACAUAUAUAUGUUGUGAGAAUUGAAUAAGACUCCAUUAUACAUAAUUUUAUUUUAAAAAGAAAUAUAUGAUUAUAUACUACACAGUUGGAGAUGCAA